CCUACGGGUGGCAGCAGUGAGGAAUAUUGGUCAAUGGGCGAGAGCCUGAACCAGCCAAGUCGCGUGAAGGAUGACGGCCCUACGGGUUGUAAACUUCUUUUGUCAGGGAGCAAUUUAAUCCACGUGUGUUCUUCUCGAGAGUACCUGAAGAAAAAGCAUCGGCUAACUCCGUGCCAGCAGCCGCGGUAAUACGGAGGAUGCGAGCGUUCUCCGGAUUUAUUGGGUUUACGGGGUGCGUAGGCGGACUAUCAAGUCAGCGGUAAAAAUUCGGGGCUCAACCCCGUCGUGCCGUUGAAACUGAUGUUCUUGAGUGGGCGAGAAGUAUGCGGAAUGCGUGGUGUAGCGGUGAAAUGCAUAGAUAUCACGCAGAACUCCGAUUGCGAAGGCAGCAUACCGGCGCCCAACUGACGCUGAAGCACGAAAGCGUGGGUAUCGAACAGGAUUAGAUACCCUUGUAGUC
rnacentral:rRNA from 1 species